rnacentral:rRNA from 1 species
GUGUCAGCCGCCGCGGUAAUACGGGGGGAGCAAGCGUUGUCCGGAAUCACUGGGCGUAAAGGGCGUGUAGGCGGGCUGGUAAGUCAGAUGUGAAAUCCCACGGCUUAACCGUGGAAUUGCAUUUGAAACUGCCAGUCUUGAGUGCGAGAGAGGGUAGUGGAAUUCCCGGUGUAGCGGUGAAAUGCGUAGAUAUCGGGAAGAACACCAGUAGCGAAGGCGGCCCUCUGGCGCUCAACUGACGCUGAGGCGCGAAAGCUAGGGGAGCAAACAGGAUUAGAUACCCUGGUAGUCCUAGCCCUAAACGAUGGACACUAGGUGUCGGGGGUGUCGACUCCCCCGGUGCCGAAGCUAACGCAUUAAGUGUCCCGCCUGGGGAGUACGGCCGCAAGGCUAAAACUCAAAUGAAUUGACGGGG